rnacentral:lncRNA from 1 species
AGUAUAUAUAAGUCCUAAUAACUCACUUAUUCUUUCUUCAUAUCCACUAAAUGGAGUCUUGGUCAUUAUAUCCAUAAGACAGGAUUCACAAGUUUCUAAUGAUUCGUAAUCAUAAGGAUCAAAAAACUCUUCUUUAUAUAACUUAUUAAUUCUCGUCUCAUUUAUAUGACCAAGUCGACAAUAUCAAAAUAAAGUAUUAUUUAUUUUUUUUCUUUUUCGCUUUUUGCUUUCAUCAAUAUGAAAAAUAUUAUCAUUAGAUAGAAUCAAAAGAUCAUUAUUAACAAUGCCAUGAUAAAAAAUUUUAUUAGAAAAAAAUUGAGUAAUUAUUACUCUUUCUAUUUAUUUCAAAAUUUCAUUGGAAUGACAACGAUACAGAAAUAAUAUUCCUAAUGAUCUUAGGCAUAUAAUAACAGUUUUCUAGCUAUAAGAUCUUUCCAGAAGGUAACUUCAAUAUAUAUGUCCCCACAGC